AAACAACAACGCAUGCGUCUCGUUGAAUAUUAUGCUCGUGAAAGCGCAACCUUUGCUGAAUAUAGUCGCAGUUUUAGUGUGUGGCUAUUGCGGGCAUUCAUUAAGUCAAUCUGCGUUAAUUAACAAUAGUUUUCAAGGAGGAACGAGUACGAGAUUUCAGUUCCAGUGUACCUACUUGCACUUGCGAAUAAACUGAUUAGGAAUUAUUAUAAAUUUGAUUCGUGAAGGAGUUUCACCUUUAGUUUGAGAGAAGCAAAACAAACGAGUGAUGAGAUCGGUUGAGAAGUUUUGUUUGAGGGAGCCUGAAUGGAUUCUAGACAGAAUAGGAUCAGGACCGCUGUUUUGGAGAAGAGAUUCCAGCGAAACAAACUCAAGGGUGAGGUUUCGCUACGACGUCGACGUCAAGGAAUUUCACAGGCCCUCACACGAACUUGAAGAUAACAGCUGGCUUGAGCAGGGAGCGGAAAUUUUAACAGCGAGCUUAUGUGUCACUUUCUGCAUCACAGUAACUGUUUUUCUACCGUGGUUCCUGCUCGUAGCCAAGAACUGAGGCCUAUCCAAGUGACGCUCAUUUGAUUUCGAAUAUAUUUCCAUUUAUUUGUGUAACUGAUGACUCGUUCAUUUCGUGGAAAUUCAUGAUGACUUUAAUGAAAUGAAUGAAAA